GGUAACUUGUCCGAGUGGUUAAGGAGACUGACUCGAAAUCAGUUGGGCUUUGCCCGCGCAGGUUCAAAUCCUGCAGUUGCCG
rnacentral:tRNA from 1 species